rnacentral:misc_RNA from 1 species
UUUCCGUAGGUGAACCUGCGGAAGGAUCAUUAUUGAAUGAAACACUUCUGGCUUUAUGCUGUUGUGCUGGCCCUUUGGGCAAUGUGCACACGGCUCUGGUCACUUGUUUCUUCUGUUCCACCUGUGCACUGCCUGUAGACACGCUGUGUCUAUGAUAUUUGUUAACACACAACAAUGUUAGUUGGCAUGUUAUAUAUAAUAAUAAGAUAUACAACUUUCAACAACGGAUCUCUUGGCUCUC